GAUGAACGCUAGCGGCAGGCCUAAUACAUGCAAGUCGAACGGGAUUGGGGAGCUUGCUCCCCAUGAGAGUGGCGCACGGGUGCGUAACGCGUGAGCAACCUGCCCGUACCAGGGGGAUAGCCCGUUGAAAGACGGAUUAACACCGCAUGACGUAGUUAACUGGCAUCAGUAUACUACCAAAUAUUUAUAGGGGACGGAUGGGCUCGCGUGACAUUAGCGAGUUGGAGAGGUAACGGCUCACCAAGGCGACGAUGUUUCGGGGCUCUGAGAGGGGAAUCCCCCACACUGGUACUGAGACACGGACCAGACUCCUACGGGAGGCAGCAGUAAGGAAUAUUUGUCAAUGGGCGGAAGCCUGAACCAGCCAUGCCGCGUGCAGGAAGACGGCCCUACGGGUUGUAAACUGCUUGUGUACGGAAAUAACCCCUAUUAUGUAUAAUAGGUUGAAUGUACCGUAAGAAUAAGGAUCGGCUAACUCCGUGCCAGCCGCCGCCGUAA
rnacentral:rRNA from 1 species